rnacentral:rRNA from 1 species
GAGUCGGACCUGCCCAGUGAAUAUAUUUUUAACGGCCGCGGUACUCUGACCGUGCAAAGGUAGCAUAAUCAUUUGCCCUAUAAUUGAGGGCUAGUAUGAAUGGUUUGACGUGAACAAAGCUGUCUCUAUGUAAUUUUUUAGAACUUGAUUUCUAGGUGAGGAAACCUAGAUUUAAUUGAAAGACAAGAAGACCCUAUUGAGCUUUAAAAGAAUAAAUUGAAAAUAAUAUAUAAUUUUAAAUAUUAAUCUAUUUUAGAUUUUGGUUGGGGCGACUAUGGAACAAAUAAAGCUUCUUUAUUAACCAAUAAGACUUACAAGUGUUGAUCCAAAAAUUUUGAUCAAUGGAAUUAGUUACCAUAGGGAUAACAGCAUAAUUCUCUUUGAGAGUCCUUAUCGAAAAGAGAGUUUGUGACCUCGAUGUUGGACUAGAAUAUCCUAAAGAUGCAGCAGUCUUUAAGGGUUGGUC